rnacentral:rRNA from 1 species
AUCAAAAGCACUUUGAAAAGAGGGUGAAAAGAACCUGAAACCGUUACGAGGGAAGCGUAUUGCGUUGAAUUGGUGGUUUGGAUCAGUGUUCAGCGUAUAAUCGUGUAUUCACUAUCCAGCUAUCCGUCGUGCCUUUUCUGUCGUUGAAGUUGAGCGACGGGAGAGGGAGGGAUCCCCUUUAUGGGUGAGGAUGACGGAGCGACAACGCGAUUCGACCCGUCUUGAAACACGGACCAAGGAGUCUAGCACAGGUGCGAGUCGAAGGGCGAAAAACCUGGAGGCGCAGUGAAAGCGAAUUGUUAGAACUGGCAGUUUGUGGCGGCAUAAAAUCGUUGAUUUUAGGUCCGACCAUGAGCAGUUGUGCUAGGACCCGAAAGAUGGUGAACUAUGCUUGAGUAGGGCGAAGCCAGAAGAAAUUCUGGUGGAGGCCCGAAGCGGUGCUGACGUGCAAAUCGCUCGUCGAACUCGAGUAUAGGGGCGAAAGACUAAUCGAAUCAUCUAGUAGCUGG